rnacentral:rRNA from 1 species
AUUGAACGCUGGCGGCAGGCCUAACACAUGCAAGUCGAGCGGGGUUUUCGGACCUAGCGGCGGACGGGUGAGUAAUGCGUAGGAAGCUACCCGAUAGAGGGGGAUACCAGUUGGAAACGACUGUUAAUACCGCAUAAUGUCUACGGACCAAAGUGUGGGACCUUCGGGCCACAUGCUAUCGGAUGCGCCUACGUGGGAUUAGCUAGUUGGUGAGGUAAUGGCUCACCAAGGCGACGAUCCCUAGCUGGUUGGGGAGGAUGAUCAGCCACACUGGAACUGAGACACGGUCCAGACUCCUACGGGAGGCAGCGGUGGGGAAUAUUGGACAAUGGGCGCAAGCCUGAUCCAGCCAUGCCGCGUGUGUGAAGAAGGCCUUCGGGUUGUAAAGCACUUUCAGUAGGGAGGAAGCGUUGUGUGUUAAUAGUACACAGCGUUGACGUUACCUACAGAAGAAGCACCGGCUAACUCUGUGCCAGCCGCCGCAGUAAUAC